ACUCCUACGGGAGGCAGCAGUGGGAAUAUUGCACAAUGGGCGCAAGCCUGAUGCAGCCAUGCCGCGUGUGUGAAGAAGGCCUUAGGGUUGUAAAGCUCUUUUAGCAGGGAAGAUAAUGACGGUACCUGCAGAAUAAGCCCCGGCUAACUUCGUGCCAGCAGCCGCGGUGAUACGAAGGGGCUAGCGUUGUUCGGAAUUACUGGGCGUAAAGCGCACGUAGGCGGAUCAUUUAGUCAGGGGUGAAAUCCCGGGGCUCAACCUCGGAACUGCCUUUGAUACUGAUGAUCUCGAGUCCGGAAGAGGUGAGUGGAAUUCCUAGUGUAGAGGUGAAAUUCGUAGAUAUUAGGAAGAACACCAGUGGCGAAGGCGGCUCACUGGUCCGGUACUGACGCUGAGGUGCGAAAGCGUGGGGAGC
rnacentral:rRNA from 1 species